rnacentral:lncRNA from 1 species
UGAAUUUGCUGAAUCAUCUGAUAGAGAAGUACAAUCUGCAGUUGGAUUAUCUGUUUCAUUCAUAGAGAGCUGCUGGCUAUGUCCUCUACCUCUAGAUGAUACUGCUCUUCGAGGCAUCUGAAAAAAUAAUUGUUCAUUAGUUUUAAUUAACAAUAAAGACAAACAAUAGAAAAAAUAAUAAUCAAAUAUUAAGUCUAUGAAUAUAUAUAUAUAUAAAUAUGAUAUACUUUACAAUGUAUCAUUCAGAAUCAUCUUCUAAGUUGACAUCAUCAUCACUAUCAAUACCAUCAACUUCUAAAUCGUCAUCUGACUCUUCAGUGUCUUCUUCCUCUUCUUCAUCCUCUCACUCCUCCUCUUCCUCUACAUCCUCAUCUUCAUCUUCCACCACUUCAAGUGGUUGUUGCACUUGUUGCAAUUCAUUAACAUCCACCUCAACCAUACUACUUGAAUCAAGUAACAUUGUGGGAUCAUCAAGUUCGGUUGUUGGUACAAUUUCUUGAGGUCUUGAGACAUCAUCCUCUUGAUAAGCAACAUCAUUGGAGUUUUGCUCAUUUGAAUUGUUGUUAACCAUGGAAGGUCCAAUAUUGUAAGUGCUCCUAGCUUUGGUUUUGAAAAUCGCACACCAGUCAACCCUGACUUUAUUGAUUUUAGGAUAUUUAAUAUAGCAAACUUGAUGAGCUUGUUGAGCUAAAAUAAAUGGAUCAGAUGAUGCUAGCCUUAAUUUGACAUUGAUUUCCACAAGACCAUGUUGAGGAUGGACCCUUACCCCUCUAUUAGUGUCAAACCAUUCACACUUGAAAAGGAUUAUCUUGUUUUUCUCUCCAAAGUACUCUAAUUCUAAUACCUCAUUCAGCAAGCCAUAGUAAUCACUUUCAUAUUCAUUAUAACAACUUCCUUUGACCCAUACACCACUAUUUAAUAUUUUUCGCUCUCUGCCAUAAUCAUGUCGAUGAAAUUUAAAUCCAUUCACAAAAUAUCCUUUAUAUUAUUGUAUUUUUCGGCUGGGCCCUUGAGCUAUUUGAUAAAUGCAGUUAUCAACUCCGUUCCUUCCCACCUAAUGUUGAAAUAUUAAGUACAACAUACAAUUGUUUACACAAACAUCGAUUUUUGUAUAACCAAGGCCUAGAGUGGACAUCAUCUUCUUCGUAUUAUAAAAAUUAUCUGGUAAGAGGUUUCCUUCUGGUAGCAUACUUUUUACCGUUCCCAUAAACUUAUUAAAACAACUAUGACUAAUGUGAAAUUCUGACAUUAAGUUCAGCAAUUGAGAUACAGCAAAUAACUUGGUAUGAUUAUUGCAGCCUUCCCAUAAUGGCACAUCCGCACCAUGUAAUAAUUCAUAGAAUUUUGAAACUUCUAAGUUCGGCUCCAUGGUUCGAUUGCCCAUUUCAGAACUACCAACUCCAACUGUACCAUAAUUUAUAUCCAUUGCUUCUAUGACCAUGCUUCUAUAAUCAUUGACAUUGUUGGUUGUAGCAAGAUAAUCAGUAGAUUGUUCCUCAAGUUGUUCAAAAUUUAUUUCAUGAGUGAUAGAUUCACCAUGCUCAAUCCACUUAGUAUAUCCUCCAACAAAUCCACUUUUGCAAAGGUGAUAAGUAACAUCUUGCCUAUUCUGAAAUUUUCUAUUCUGACACUUAGAACAUGGACAACGAAUUUUAUCUUGGCAUAUAAACUGUACUUGUGCAUAGGCAAAGUUUAGAAAUGUCUCCACCCCAAUCUCAAAUUCAGAAUUAAGAAAGCCAUUUUGAUCUAGUCGCUCAUACAUCCAUCUACGAUCUACCGACAUGAUAAAUAUAUUCUGAAAUAUAAACAAAUUCAACUCUAAUUAUAUACUAAUUUAACAAAUCAAACACACUAAUCAAUUUAACAAUACAUAUCAAAGAAAAGUUGAAUAAAGGCACAUAAAAUAAUCAAUUUAACAAUACAUAUAUAUAUUAAUAAAAUUAUAUAUUAUUAUUAUUAUUAUUUUGAAAUUUAUAAAAUGACUUAUUCUCUUAAAAUUAAAAAUAUAUAUAUAUUUUUUAAAAGGUCAUUUUUUCCUUUUAAUUAAAAAAAACUAUAUUAAUCAAUUUUAAACGUUAAAAAUAUUUCGUUGUUUAUCCAAUUUUUAAAUUAUUUGUUAUCACUACUUUUGAUUACUUCUAUAAGCAAUUCAUCUAAUUUGCUAGAAAAAAAUAAUUAAUAAUUAAAAUAUAAAUAUUGAAAGCCAAUUUACAAAAUGGAGACAAAAAAAAAAUUAAUAUAACUGGUCAACAAGGCAGGGAAGUAGCAGCAUGCAGCUGCUGCAGCAAGGCAGCAAGCUGCAGCACAGCAGCAGCUGCACAGCAGCAGCAAGCUGUUGUGCAGCAGCUUGCCUUGCUUGUGCAGCAGCAAGCUUGCUGCUGCACAAGCAAGGCAGCAGCAAGCUAGCUGCUGCACAGCAAGGCAGCAACAUGCUUGCUGCUGCACAAGCAAGGCAGCAGCAAGCUUGCUGCUGCACAAGCUAUAUUUCAUAAUUUCACAUUAUUUUUUUUUAUAACUAAUGAAUUUAAUUUCACAUUAUUUUUAACAUAUUACAAGAUAUAUUUCAUAAUUUAUAAAAAUUAGUAACAUAAUAAUCAUGUUCUCAAUAAUUGAUGUAAUCUCAAAACCCCAAAUAAAUAAAUAAAAAACAUAAAAACAAACAAUUAAGCAAUAAACCCAUCAAACUCAAUGGCUAAGUAAUAACCUAAUCUUUUUCAAAAUUAUUAAUUUAAUAAUUAAUAUAAAAUUAAAAAUUAGUAUAACAAGCAUACAUUAUGAUCAACCAAUCAUUCCAUCAAUAACUUACAUGGAGUGGCGACGAUUGGCAGCUGCAACGGCGGUGAGUGGCAACGGUGGUGGCGACAGCGGUGGCAGCUCCAGCAAUGGCGGCACAGCCGCGGCAACAGCAACAGCUACAGAGAGGCGCAGCAACGCGCGACAGCCCGGGAACG